rnacentral:rRNA from 1 species
UACCAGCACCCCGAGUGGUCGGGACGAUUAUUGGGCCUAAAGCCUCCGUAGCCGGUUCUACAAGUCUUCCGUUAAAUCCACCUGCUUAACAGAUGGGCUGCGGAGGAUACUAUAGAGCUAGGAGGCGGGAGAGGCAAGCGGUACUCAGUGGGUAGGGGUAAAAUCCGUUGAUCCAUUGAAGACCACCAGUGGCGAAGGCGGCUUGCCAGAAUGCGCUCGACGGUGAGGGAUGAAAGCUGGGGGAGCAAACCGG